GCAAGACGAACAACUGCGAAAGCAUUUGCCAAGAAUGUUUUCAUUAAUCAAGAACGAAAGUUAGAGGUUCGAAGGCGAUCAGAUACCGCCCUAGUUCUAACCAUAAACGAUGCCAACCAGCGAUCCGCGGACGUUACUUGAAUGACUCCGCGGGCAGCUUCCGGGAAACCAAAGUGUUUGGGUUCCGGGGGAAGUAUGGUUGCAAAGCUGAAACUUAAAGGAAUUGACGGAAGGGCACCACCAGGAGUGGAGCCUGCGGCUUAAUUUGACUCAACACGGGAAACCUCACCAGGCCCGGACACUGGAAGGAUUGACAGAUUGAGAGCUCUUUCUUGAUUCAGUGGGUGGUGGUGCAUGGCCGUUCUUAGUUGGUGGAGCGAUUUGUCUGGUUAAUUCCGAUAACGAACGAGACUCUAGCCUGCUAAAUAGACGAUGGAUCCUAGUGGUGGAUCGCUCUUCUUAGAGGGACAAGUGGCGUCUAGCCAUAUGAGAGUGAGCAAUAACAGGUCUGUGAUGCCCUUAGAUGUCCUGGGCCGCACGCGCGCUACACUGGAAGAAUCAGCGCGUCCUCCCUGUCCGAGAGGACCGGGUAACCGCUGAACCUCUUCCGUGGUUGGGAUUGGGGACUGCAAGGAUCCCCAUGAACCAGGAAUCCCUAGUAGGCGCAAGUCAUUAGCUUGCGUCGAUUACGUCCCUGCCCUUUGUACACACCGCCCGUCGCUACUACCGAUUGAAUGAUUUAGUGAGAACUUCGGACGACUCGCCAGGGCAGCCUCCGGGCCGCUCGUGGUGUGGUUGAAAGUUGUUCAAACU
rnacentral:rRNA from 1 species